CUCGUCUCUCUUCUCCUUCCUAUCGUUCGUUGUUACGCCCUCUCUUCCACAUUUCUCAUUCCAGAGCUAUCACUCUUCUUCUCUUCCAUUCGUUCUUCAAUUUUUGUUGUUUGAUCGAUUAAAGCACUCAAUACAAGCCGCAAGAUUUAGAUAAAGGUUAUAAUUGGUCAGGCCCAAACCAAGAGGGCAAACUUUGAAUCUCAGACUGUGUUGGUCAGCUAAUGGAUUUUAAUUAAUGGUUUUUGAGGAGAACUAGCAAAUUAGUUGACUUCUGUUAGUUACCAUUAGGUCCAAGCAUUAGUAUUUUGUAAGGACGGAUGAGACAUUAUAUAUGUAUUGAGUUUAUAAAGCCUUAUAUGUCUAACAUUAUUGAUAAGAGAUGAAA